rnacentral:tRNA from 6 species
GCCGAGGUGGCGGAACUGGCAGACGCACAGGACUUAAAAUCCUGCGGUAGGUGACUACCAUACGGGUUCGAUCCCCGUCCUCGGCA